ensembl:lncRNA
GAAUAUUGGUGUUAUUGUGAGCCGUGCUCGGACCAUCAGCAACCUUCUGUGUGGUGUCACGUGCCAAGAACUGGAGGAUGCCAUUGGCAACCUCAACAGGAUUAACCCAAGACCUCUGAGUCAUGAAGAGAUAAGUGAGUGUGCAGAUGGUGAGUAUCUAUACUGGUACGUGUGUGGUUGUGUGUGGUGUAUAUUUACUGUAAACUUUUUGUUGUUGCUGGACAGCAAAGAAGUUUUUUAGAUUAUUUUGGGCGUCAGGUUUAUUUCCAUAAGGAGAAUCUAUUUGAAAGUUAUUUACUCAUUGAAGCGUUGGUGACUGGACUCCAAU